rnacentral:rRNA from 1 species
GACGUAGGAGGCGAGCGUUAUCCGGAAUCACUGGGCGUAAAGGGCAUGUAGGCGGCGAUCCAAGUCGUGUGUUAAAGCCCCUGGCUCAACUGGGGGAGGUCAUGCGAGACUGAAUGGCUAGAGGGCAGCAGAGGCACGUGGAACUCCCGGUGUAGCGGUGGAAUGCGUAGAGAUCGGGAAGAACAUCAGUGGCGAAGGCGACGUGCUGGGCUGCAUCUGACGCUGAGAUGCGAAAGUGUGGGGAGCAAACGGG